CCUACGGGCGGCAGCAGUGAGGAAUAUUGGUCAAUGGACGAGAGUCUGAACCAGCCAAGUAGCGUGAAGGAUGACUGCCCUAUGGGUUGUAAACUUCUUUUAUAUGGGAAUAAAAUGUUCCACGUGUGGGAUUUUGUAUGUACCAUAUGAAUAAGGAUCGGCUAACUCCGUGCCAGCAGCCGCGGUAAUACGGAGGAUCCGAGCGUUAUCCGGAUUUAUUGGGUUUAAAGGGAGCGUAGGUGGAUUGUUAAGUCAGUUGUGAAAGUUUGCGGCUCAACCGUAAAAUUGCAGUUGAAACUGGCAGUCUUGAGUACAGUAGAGGUGGGCGGAAUUCGUGGUGUAGCGGUGAAAUGCUUAGAUAUCACGAAGAACUCCGAUUGCGAAGGCAGUUCACUGGACUGCAACUGACACUGAGGCUCGAAAGUGUGGGUAUCAAACAGGAUUAGAUAUCCGGGUAGUC
rnacentral:rRNA from 1 species